UCGGGAAUUUUGGGCAAUGGGCGAAAGCCUGACCCAGCAACGCCGCGUGAAGGAUGAAGUAUUUCGGUAUGUAAACUUCGAAAGAAUAGGAAGAAUAAAUGACGGUACUAUUUAUAAGGUCCGGCUAACUACGUGCCAGCAGCCGCGGUAAUACGUAGGGACCAAGCGUUGUUCGGAUUUACUGGGCGUAAAGGGCGCGUAGGCGGUGUGUCAAGUCAGUUGUGAAAUCUCCGAGCUUAACUCGGAACGGUCAACUGAUACUGUCACACUAGAGUACAGAAGGGGCAAUCGGAAUUCUUGGUGUAGCGGUGAAAUGCGUAGAUAUCAAGAGGAACACCUGAGGCGAAGGCGGGUUGCUGGGCUGAUGCUGACGCUGAGGCGCGAAAGCUAGGGUAGCAAACGGGAUUAGAUACCCCAGUAGUCCCUGAGCGGGCUGGCAAGGCGCAU
rnacentral:rRNA from 1 species